rnacentral:pre_miRNA from 1 species
CCCAAUAAGUUGCUUUUAUCUGCAUUUGCACCUGCGCUUUGUUUGGUUUCUCUGGAACAUUCAAGAGUAUGUGAAAACAAAGAAAAGUAUUAUAUAUAGCCACACAGAGUGACCAGGCACAAGGUGCAGGUGCAUCUGCAGUUGAAUGCCAUAUUGGA